UACGUAGGAUGCAAGCGUUGUCCGGAAUUAUUGGGCGUAAAGAGCGCGCAGGCGGUUUGAGAAGUCAGAUGUGAAAGAGGCCGGCUUAACCGGGAAGGGUCAUUUGAAACUGACAGACUAGAGUACAGCAGAGGAUAGCGGAAUUCCCGGUGUAGUGGUGAAAUGCGUAGAUAUCGGGAGGAACACCAGUGGCGAAGGCGGCUAUCUGGGCUGAAACUGACGCUGAGGCGCGAAGGCUAGGGUAGCAAACAGG
rnacentral:rRNA from 1 species